UUGGGCACUCUAAGGUGACUGCCGGUGACAAACCGGAGGAAGGCGGGGAUGACGUCAAAUCAUCAUGCCCCUUAUGACCUGGGCUACACACGUGCUACAAUGGAUGGUACAGAGGGCAGCGAGACCGCGAGGUCAAGCAAAUCUCAAAAAACCAUUCUCAGUUCGGAUUGCAGGCUGCAACUCGCCUGUAUGAAGCCGGAAUCGCUAGUAAUCGCAGGUCAGCAUACUGCGGUGAAUACGUUCCCGGGCCUUGUACACACCGCCCGUCACACCACGAGAGUUGGCAACACCCGAAGUCGGUGAGGUAACCUUUUUGGAGCCAGUCGCCGAAGGUGGGGCCAAUGAUUGGGGUGAAGUCGUAACAAGGU
rnacentral:rRNA from 1 species